GCGUUUGAGCUCUGCGGCGUGCGUCUCUCUCUGCUUGUCGUGCAGAGACUUGUUAACGGUCUGUUGGACCACUGAAUAAUAUUUUCUUCCAACAAUAACGUUUUUCAGCAUGCUGAGGUGUAAUGAAUGCGACGACUGCAAGUCAUAUAGCUGCAUGUCCUACCACUAUCUACUCAAGAAUAGUCUGACUUUAAUGGCACGCACUGCAGAUGACGAAGGUGAUAAUUUCCCCUGAAAGGCCAGCGUAGCUUGGCAUGACAUUCAAGUGACAAACUUUGAAGGUGGUGUGAAGGAGGUCCGCUGCGCUGGUAAGUUUCAGUGGGUACUGCUGUUCUGUAUUAAUAUUUCAUUCAUAUGUAUCCCGUCGAUGAUAAGUGGUGUCAGUGUUGAGUUCUAAUGCUGUGGUUAGUAAGUUUCAGAUUGACCAGUGGUGUGCACAGCACAGUGGAAAAGACGAUGAAAAAGCGCUGCUCCACCUCCACAAAGGAAGAAAGUACUAUGCAAAUUGCAAGGAAGAGAAGGGCAACGGUUGAACAAAAGGAUUAUUACACAGCAGAAGUAAUUUAUGUCUUUGCUCAUCUGGUGAGGGAGAUCAAUCUUACCUGUUCACUUGUUUCCAGUACUGCUGUAUCACGGUGAGGGGGACGCGCCUGUCCAGUAAAUGACCGCAUUCGAACAUCACGAAGACUUCAACCUGAAGUAUGUUGCAUUGGUUAGGGAA